UGGGGAAUUUUGGACAAUGGGGGAAACCCUGAUCCAGCCAUCCCGCGUGUGCGAUGAAGGCCUUCGGGUUGUAAAGCGCUUUUGGCAGGAAAGAAACGUCAUGGGUUAAUACCCCGUGAAACUGACGGUACCUGCAGAAUAAGCACCGGCUAACUACGUGCCAGCAGCCGCGGUAAUACGUAGGGUGCAAGCGUUAAUCGGAAUUACUGGGCGUAAAGCGUGCGCAGGCGGUUCGGAAAGAAAGAUGUGAAAUCCCAGAGCUCAACUUUGGAACUGCAUUUUUAACUACCGGGCUAGAGUGUGUCAGAGGGAGGUGGAAUUCCGCGUGUAGCAGUGAAAUGCGUAGAUAUGCGGAGGAACACCGAUGGCGAAGGCAGCCUCCUGGGAUAACACUGACGCUCAUGCACGAAAGCGUGGGGAGCAAACAGG
rnacentral:rRNA from 1 species